CACUCCUGCGGGAGGCAGCAGUGGGGAAUAUUGCACAAUGGGCGCAAGCCUGAUGCAGCCAUGCCGCGUGUAUGAAGAAGGCCUUCGGGUUGUAAAGUACUUUCAGCGGGGAGGAAGGCGAUAAGGUUAAUAACCUUGUCGAUUGACGUUACCCGCAGAAGAAGCACCGGCUAACUCCGUGCCAGCAGCCGCGGUAAUACGGAGGGUGCAAGCGUUAAUCGGAAUUACUGGGCGUAAAGCGCACGCAGGCGGUCUGUCAAGUCGGAUGUGAAAUCCCCGGGCUCAACCUGGGAACUGCAUUCGAAACUGGCAGGCUAGAGUCUUGUAGAGGGGGGUAGAAUUCCAGGUGUAGCGGUGAAAUGCGUAGAGAUCUGGAGGAAUACCGGUGGCGAAGGCGGCCCCCUGGACAAAGACUGACGCUCAGGUGCGAAAGCGUGGGGAGCAAACAGGAUUAGAUACCCCUGUAGUCCCAUGA
rnacentral:rRNA from 1 species